UAAGUUCCCCGCCUGGGGAGUACGGCCGCAAGGCUAAAACUCAAAGGAAUUGACGGGGACCCGCACAAGCGGCGGAGCAUGCGGAUUAAUUCGAUGCAACGCGAAGAACCUUACCAAGGCUUGACAUACACCAGAACACCGUAGAAAUACGGGACUCUUUGGACACUGGUGAACAGGUGGUGCAUGGUUGUCGUCAGCUCGUGUCGUGAGAUGUUGGGUUAAGUCCCGCAACGAGCGCAACCCUCGUUCUUGUUGCCAGCACGUUAUGGUGGGAACUCAUGGGAUACUGCCGGGGUCAACUCGGAGGAAGGUGGGGAUGACGUCAAAUCAUCAUGCCCCUUAUGUCUUGGGCUUCACGCAUGCUACAAUGGCCGGUACAAAGGGCUGCAAUACCGUGAGGUGGAGCGAAUCCCAAAAAGCCGGUCCCAGUUCGGAUUGAGGUCUGCAACUCGACCUCAGAAGUCGGAGUCGCUAGUAAUCGCAGCAGCACCUCA
rnacentral:rRNA from 1 species